CCAGCCCUCCAGGCGCGCACGGCGCAGUGCAGGACGCCGUCCAUCCACACCAGGAACCAGCUGAUGCAGAAGCCCAGCAGCAGCCCCAGCAUGAGGUCGAUCUCCUGCUUGGUGACGUUGUCGGUCACGAAGUAGUUCUCGGAGGCGUCCACCACCGACUGGUCCCCGUCGCUCAGGCCACGAACCCUCUGAACUGCAGAACUGUUUGCCUCUAAGGAACUCUGAAUUCUCCUCACAAGGCUCCAUCCAGCAUCAGGCCUGUCAAGAUUCCCUCCUCCUCCAAGAAGCUCUCCUGGGCCUAGAGAUCCUGGGUGGGGUGGCCCCACUCAGGAGAUCAGCACCCAGGACAACAGAUCUGGGCCUGUCCCCACCUUGACCUCCUGUUUGGCCCACAGGAGAGCCCAGGAGAGGGACCUCUGGGUUCCACCCUUGGGUCUUGUCAUCCCCGCUGGCUGCAACCCUUCCUCCUGCCUGGCAGCAUGGGGACGGUUCUGGAGGCCUCCUUCCCAGAGGCCCACCUCUCAUGGUCCCCUCUCCUCCCUGAGCCCCUUUGCUGGUUUCUCCACCUCUCCUGCCUGCCCCCCACCCCGUCUGCUCUGAGCUCUCGCUGCCUGUGUGGCAUCUCCACGUGGGAUCUACAGACACCUCAAAUUCAUACCUAAAAAUAGCUCCUCCCUCCCCGAA